UAGGGUUUCAGAAGAAUAAUUCCGUAGAUGGAAAUGAAUUAUUCUUCCCAAUUUGGCGAGGUUGGUGUAAUUAGGGAUUUGAUUUAAAUCAAAUCCCUAAUUAAGGCAAGAAUCAAAUACAUCUCAUUUAAAUCAAAUAACCUCCCAAUUAGGUCAAAUAAUUCCCAAAUUGAUUGGCUUAAUUAUUUGACCUAUGAGAAAAUAUUUUGC
rnacentral:lncRNA from 1 species